UACGUAGGGACCAAGCGUUGUUCGGAUUUACUGGGCGUAAAGGGCGCGUAGGCGGCGUGUUAAGUCACUUGUGAAAUUUCUAAGCUUAACUUAGAACGGUCAAGUGAUACUGAUGUGCUAGAGUGCAGAAGGGGCAACCGGAAUUCUUGGUGUAGCGGUGAAAUGCGUAGAUAUCAAGAGGAACACCUGAGGUGAAGACGGGUUGCUGGGCUGACACUGACGCUGAGGCGCGAAAGCUAGGGUAGCAAACGGG
rnacentral:rRNA from 1 species